rnacentral:rRNA from 1 species
ACGGGGCCCGCACAAGCGGCGGAGCAUGUGGAUUAAUUCGAUGCAACGCGAAGAACCUUACCUGGGCUUGACAUACACCGGAUCGGGCUAGAGAUAGUCUUUCCCUUUGUGGCUGGUGUACAGGUGGUGCAUGGUUGUCGUCAGCUCGUGUCGUGAGAUGUUGGGUUAAGUCCCGCAACGAGCGCAACCCUUGUCUUAUGUUGCCAGCACGUGAUGGUGGGGACUCAUGAGAGACUGCCGGGGUUAACUCGGAGGAAGGUGGGGAUGACGUCAAAUCAUCAUGCCCCUUAUGUCCAGGGCUUCACACAUGCUACAAUGGUCGGUACAACGCGUGUGCGACACUGUGAGGUGAAGCCAAUCCCGUAAAAUCGGUCUCAGUCCGGAUUGGAGUCUGCAACUCGACUCCAUGAAGUUGGAAUCGCUAGUAAUCGUGGAUUCAGCACUGCCACGGUAGAAUACGUUCCGGCCUU